rnacentral:rRNA from 1 species
UAUAUUGAAUGGCAUCAUUCGAUAUUGAAAACUCCGGUGGAUAGAGAUGGGCACGCGCAAGAUUAGAUAGUUGGUGAGGUAACGGCUCACCAAGUCUGCGAUCUUUAGGGGGCCUGAGAGGGUGAUCCCCCACACUGGUACUGAGACACGGACCAGACUCCUACGGGAGGCAGCAGUGAGGAAUAUUGGACAAUGGGUGAGAGCCUGAUCCAGCCAUCCCGCGUGAAGGACGACGGCCCUAUGGGUUGUAAACUUCUUUUGUAUAGGGAUAAACCUAGAUACGUGUAUCUAGCUGAAGGUACUAUACGAAUAAGCACCGGCUAACUCCGUGCCAGCAGCCGCGGUAAUACGGAGGGUGCAANNCGUUAUCCGGAUUUAUUGGGUUUAAAGGGUCCGUAGGCGGAUCUGUAAGUCAGUGGUGAAAUCUCACAGCUUAACUGUGAAACUGCCAUUGAUACUGCAGGUCUUGAGUGUUGUUGAAGUAGCUGGAAUAAGUAGUGUAGCGGUGAAAUGCAUAGAUAUUACUUAGAACACCAAUUGCGAAGGCMRGGUUACUAAGNCAACAACUGACGCUGAUGGACGAAAGCGUGGGGAGCGAACAGGGAUUAGAUACCCUGGGUAGUCCACGCCGUAAACGAUGCUAACUCGUUUUUUGGGAAUUUAGGUUUCAGAGACUAAGCGAAAGUGAUAAGUUAGCCACCUGGGGAGUACGUUCGCAAGAAUGAAACUCAAAGGAAUUGACGGGGGCCCGCACAAGCGGUGGAUUAUGUGGUUUAAUUCGAUGAUACGCGAGGAACCUUACCAAGGCUUAAAUGGGAAAUGACAGGUUUAGAAAUAGACUUUUCUUCGGACAUUUUUCAAGGUGCUGCAUGGUUGUCGUCAGCUCGUGCCGUGAGGUGUUAGGUUAAGUCCUGCAACGAGCGCAACCCCUGUCACUAGUUGCCAUCAUUAAGUUGGGGACUCUAGUGAGACUGCCUACGCAAGUAGAGAGGAAGGUGGGGAUGACGUCAAAUCAUCACGGCCCUUACGCCUUGGGCCACACACGUAAUACAAUGGCCAGUACAGAGGGCAGCUACACAGCGAUGUGAUGCAAAUCUCGAAAGCUGGUCUCAGUUCGGAUUGGAGUCUGCAA